rnacentral:misc_RNA from 1 species
GAUGAAGAACGCAGCGAAAUGCGAUACGUAAUGUGAAUUGCAGAAUUCAGUGAAUCAUCGAAUCUUUGAACGCACAUUGCGCCCGCCAGUAUUCUGGCGGGCAUGCCUGUUCGAGCGUCAUUUCAACCAUCAAGCCCCAGGCUUGUGUUGGGGACCUGCGGCUGCCGCAGGCCCUGAAAACCAGUGGCGGGCUCGCUGUCACACCGGGCGUAGUAGAUUUUAUCUCGCUCAGGGCGUGCUGCGGGUUCCGGCCGUUAAAAAGCCUUUUUUACCCAAGGUUGACCUCGGAUCAGGUAGGAAGACCCGCUGAACUUAAGCAUAUCAAUAAGCGGAGGA